GAUGAACGCUGGCGGCGUGCCUAAUACAUGCAAGUCGAGCGAAUGGAUUAAGAGCUUGCUCUUAUGAAGUUAGCGGCGGACGGGUGAGUAACACGUGGGUAACCUGCCCAUAAGACUGGGAUAACUCCGGGAAACCGCGGCUAAUACCGGAUAACAUUUUGAACCGCAUGGUUCGAAAUUGAAAGGCGGCUUCGGCUGUCACUUAUGGCUGGACCCGCGUCGCAUUAGCUAGUUGGUGAGGUAACGGCUCACCAAGGCAACGAUGCGUAGCCGACCUGAGAGGGUGAUCGGCCACACUGGGACUGAGACACGGCCCAGACUCCUACGGGAGGCAGCAGUAGGGAAUCUUCCGCAAUGGACGAAAGUCUGACGGAGCAACGCCGCGUGAGUGAUGAAGGCUUUCGGGUCGUAAAACUCUGUUGUUAGGGAAGAACAAGUGCUAGUUGAAUAAGCUGGCACCUUGACGGUACCUAACCAGAAAGCCACGGCUAACUACGUGCCAGCAGCCGCAGUAA
rnacentral:rRNA from 1 species